UGGGGAAUCUUGCACAAUGGGCGAAAGCCUGAUGCAGCAACGCCGCGUGCGGGAAGAAGGCCUUAGGGUUGUAAACCGCUUUCAGCAGGGAAGAAAAUGACGGUACCUGUAGAAGAAGGUGCGGCCAACUACGUGCCAGCAGCCGCGGUGACACGUAGGCACCAAGCGUUGUCCGGAUUUAUUGGGCGUAAAGAGCUUGUAGGCGGUUCGGUUAGUCGGGUGUGAAACCUCUGGGCUCAACUCAGAGACGCCACCCGAUACUGCUGUGACUAGAGUGCGGUAGGGGAGCGGGGAAUUCCUGGUGUAGCGGUGAAAUGCGCAGAUAUCAGGAGGAACACCAGUGGCGAAGGCGCCGCUCUGGGCCGUAACUGACGCUGAGAAGCGAAAGCGUGGGGAGCAAACA
rnacentral:rRNA from 1 species